CCUAAACCUAUCGCCGAACCCGAGCUUCCCUUCUUCCCCGUUCCCUUUCUCUGUUCUCUCCAUCUCUCGCGGAUGAAGCAAAUCCGAUGGACUUCCGGCGAUCGUCGACCUCGACCCAGUGGAGCAGUCGCCAGAUGGACUUCCGGCGAUCGUCGAUCUCGACCCAGGGGAGCAGUCGCCAGUACAGAUCCGGACAUGGGUGAUAUCCUCCAGCCCUAGCCGAGUCUGCCGAUCCUUUUCUUCCCCGAUCGACGCCACUGGAUCGACUCGGUGCCAACCCGAUCGUCGGCGAGGGCUUCUACCGAAGGUUCAAGAUAGGGGCUAGCUUCACCUGAGUCAUAUCCCUUGCAUAAUUGUGCCCUAGAGCUCCUCUGUCAGCUCCGAUCAGUCAUCGCGAAGGCAAAGGUGUGCCCUAGCCGUAAUCUUGAAGGGGAGAAAUCCAGCAGGGAGGUUGUGUUCUGGAGGUGAGCGAUAGGGAUCUUGGACCUUAUCUUCCUUGCUGCUGAUUAAGGUCACGAUUAAGUGAGGUGAAGUUCUGGAUUGUGAAGUGAACCCAGCAGAGAGGAUCAGUAGGCUGUGAGCUGUCCUGUUUCUGUGGAUUUAGAAUUGGGUGCUGUGGUGUUCUUGAUCCAACAUCAACAGGGGCUGUGAGCUUGAGGACUCUGAUUCGAGACGGGCGUCUCGACUUCGGAUUUGGAU